UACGGAGGGCGCUAGCGUUGUUCGGAAUUACUGGGCGUAAAGAGCACGUAGGCGGCUUUGUAAGUUAGAGGUGAAAGCCCGGGGCUCAACUCCGGAACUGCCUUUAAGACUGCAUCGCUUGAAUCCAGGAGAGGUGAGUGGAAUUCCGAGUGUAGAGGUGAAAUUCGUAGAUAUUCGGAAGAACACCAGUGGCGAAGGCGGCUCACUGGACUGGUAUUGACGCUGAGGUGCGAAAGCGUGGGGAGCAAACAGG
rnacentral:rRNA from 1 species